rnacentral:rRNA from 1 species
AUACGUAGGUGGCGAGCGUUGUCCGGAAUUACUGGGCGUAAAGGGUGCGUAGGCGGUAUAUUAAGUCAGAUGUGAAAUUCCAGGGCUCAACCCUGGAACUGCAUUUGAAACUGGGAUACUAGAGUGCAGGAGAGGAAAGCGGAAUUCCUAGUGUAGCGGUGAAAUGCGUAGAUAUUAGGAAGAACACCAGUGGCGAAGGCGGCUUUCUGGACUGUAACUGACGCUGAGGCACGAAAGCGUGGGGAGCAAACAGGAUUAGAUACCCUGGUAGUCCACGCCGUAAACUAUGAGUGCUAGGUGUAGGGGAUGUCAUGUCCUCUGUGCCGCAGUAAACGCAAUAAGCACUCCGCCUGGGGAGUACGGUCGCAAGACUAAA